rnacentral:rRNA from 1 species
ACAGCAGCCGCCACGGUAAAACGGAGGGUGCAAGCGUUAAUCGGAAUUACUGGGCGUAAAGCGCACGCAGGCGGUCUGACAAGUCAGAUGUGAAAUCCCCGGGCUUAACCUGGGAACUGCAUUUGAAACUGUCAGGCUGGAGUCUUGUAGAGGGGGGUGGAAUUCCAGGUGUAGCGGUGAAAUGCGUAGAGAUCUGGAGGAAUACCGGUGGCGAAGGCGGCCCCCUGGACAAAGACUGACGCUCAGGUGCGAAAGCGUGGGGAGCAAACAGGAUUAGAGACCCGGGUAGUCCCUGUCUCUUAUAC